UUCGACGUUAGCGGCGGACGGGUGAGUAACACGUGGGCAACCUACCUUAUAGUUUGGGAUAACUCCGGGAAACCGGGGCUAAUACCGAAUAAUCUGUUUCACCUCAUGGUGAAACACUGAAAGACGGUUUCGGCUGUCGCUAUAGGAUGGGCCCGCGGCGCAUUAGCUAGUUGGUGAGGUAACGGCUCACCAAGGCGACGAUGCGUAGCC
rnacentral:rRNA from 1 species